rnacentral:rRNA from 1 species
UACAGAGGGUGCAAGCGUUGUUCGGAAUCAUUGGGCGUAAAGGGCGUGUAGGCGGUUUGUUAAGUCAUGUGUGAAAUCCCUCGGCUCAACCGGGGAACGACGCAUGAAACUGGCAGCUAGAGUACCAAAGAGGGCGGUGGAAUUCCCGGUGUAGCGGUAAAAUGCGUAGAUAUCGGGAGGAACACCUGUGGCGAAGGCGGCCGCCUGGUUGGAUACUGACGCUGAGACGCGAAAGCGUGGGGAGCAAACAGG